GAUGAACGCUGGCGGCGUGCCUAAUACAUGCAAGUCGAGCGAACGGACGAGAAGCUUGCUUCUCUGAUGUUAGCGGCGGACGGGUGAGUAACACGUGGAUAACCUACCUAUAAGACUGGGAUAACUUCGGGAAACCGGAGCUAAUACCGGAUAAUAUUUUGAACCGCAUGGUUCAAAAGUGAAAGACGGUCUUGCUGUCACUUAUAGAUGGAUCCGCGCUGCAUUAGCUAGUUGGUAAGGUAACGGCUUACCAAGGCAACGAUGCAUAGCCGACCUGAGAGGGUGAUCGGCCACACUGGAACUGGGACACGGUCCAGACUCCUACGGGAGGCAGCAGUAGGGAAUCUUCCGCAAUGGGCGAAAGCCUGACGGAGCAACGCCGCGUGAGUGAUGACGGUCUUCGGAUCGUAAAACUCUGUUAUUAGGGAAGAACAUAUGUGUAAGUAACUGUGCACAUCUUGACGGUACCUAAUCAGAAAGCCACGGCUAACUACGUG
rnacentral:rRNA from 1 species